ACAUACGGGUCAGGGGGACGGGUGAGUAAUGCCUAGGAAAUUGCCCUGAUGUGGGGGAUAACCAUUGGAAACGAUGGCUAAUACCGCAUAAUACCUAUCGGGUCAAAGAGGGGGACCUUCGGGCCUCUCGCGUCAGGAUAUGCCUAGGUGGGAUUAGCUAGUUGGUGAGGUAAUGGCUCACCAAGGCGACGAUCCCUAGCUGGUCUGAGAGGAUGAUCAGCCACACUGGAACUGAGACACGGUCCAGACUCCUACGGGAGGCAGCAGUGGGGAAUAUUGCACAAUGGGCGCAAGCCUGAUGCAGCCAUGCCGCGUGUGUGAAGAAGGCCUUCGGGUUGUAAAGCACUUUCAGUCGUGAGGAAGGUAGUGUGGUUAAUAGCUGCAUUAUUUGACGUUAGCGACAGAAGAAGCACCGGCUAACUCCGUGCCAGCAGCCGCGGUAAUACGGAGGGUGCGAGCGUUAAUCGGAAUUACUGGGCGUAAAGCGCAUGCAGGUGGUUUGUUAAGUCAGAUGUGAAAGCCCGGGGCUCAACCUCGGAAUAGCAUUUGAAACUGGCAGACUAGAGUACUGUAGAGGGGGGUAGAAUUUCAGGUGUAGCGGUGAAAUGCGUAGAGAUCUGAAGGAAUACCGGUGGCGAAGGCGGCCCCCUGGACAGAUACUGACACUCAGAUGCGAAAGCGUGGGGAGCAAACAGGAUUAGAUACCCUGGUAGUCCACGCCGUAAACGAUGUCUACUUGGAGGUUGUGGNCUUGAGCCGUGGCUUUCGGAGCUAACGCGUUAAGUAGACCGCCUGGGGAGUACGGUCGCAAGAUUAAAACUCAAAUGAAUUUGACGGGGGCCCGCACAAGCGGGUGGAGCAUGUGGGUUUAAAUUCNAUGCAACGCNAAANAACCUUACCCUACUCUUUGACAUCCA
rnacentral:rRNA from 1 species